CCGGAAGCAGCCAUGUUCCCCCAGACUGCACCGCGCCGGGAGCUGCAGGGGAGCGGGAGGACCCCGCGGCGCCCCUCGGACGCCGCCGGGGCGUGCUGCCCUGGCUGCAUCCCCUCUUGGUCCAUCUGAGCAAGGGAGGUGACGGCUCCUGGGGCAACCGCAAGGCUGAUGUGGCCCCUGGUGAAAAUGAGUUUGACACCCCUAUGCUGGAGCAAAAAGAAAUACCAAAGGAAACAUGGACAUUCAAGGUGCCUCCAAGAAAAUCAUUGAUCUGAUUUGAGAGUGCUCAUGAGAACACCACCUAAUCACAAGAGAAAAUGGUAUUUACUGCCAACAAUG